rnacentral:rRNA from 1 species
UACGUAGGGGGCAAGCGUUGUCCGGAUUUAUUGGGCGUAAAGAGCGUGUAGGCGGUCAGGUAGGUCGGUUGUGAAAACUGGAGGCUCAACCUUCAGAGGUCGACCGAAACCCCCUGGCUAGAGUCCGGGAGAGGAGAGUGGAAUUCCUGGUGUAGCGGUGAAAUGCGCAGAUAUCAGGAAGAACACCCGUGGCGAAGGCGGCUCUCUGGGACGGUACUGACGCUGAGACGCAAAAGCGUGGGGAGCGAACAGG